rnacentral:rRNA from 1 species
AUUGAACGCUGGCGGCAUGCUUUACACAUGCAAGUCGAACGGUAACAGGGUGCUUGCACCGCUGACGAGUGGCGAACGGGUGAGUAAUGCGUCGGAACGUGCCGAGUAGUGGGGGAUAACGCAGCGAAAGUUGUGCUAAUACCGCAUACGUACUGAGGUAGAAAGUGGGGGACCUUCGGGCCUCACGCGAUUCGAGCGGCCGACGGCUGAUUAGCUAGUAGGUGAGGUAAAGGCUCACCUAGGCGACGAUCAGUAGCGGGUCUGAGAGGAUGAUCCGCCACACUGGGGCUGAGACACGGCCCAGACUCCUACGGGAGGCAGCAGUGGGGAAUUUUGGACAAUGGGCGAAAGCCUGAUCCAGCCAUGCCGCGUGUCUGAAGAAGGCCUUCGGGUUGUAAAGGACUUUUGUCGGGGAGGAAAUCCCCAGCGUUAAUACCGCUGGGGGAUGACAGUACCUGAAGAAUAAGCACCGGCUAACUACGUGCCAGCCGCCGCCGUAAUAC